CAGCUGAUAUUGGAUUCUUUGUGCGAGGAGGAGUUGAAGUGCUUGACGGAAUUACCUAUAUCUACAACAGUAAUGAAAACAAUUGUCAUUUCGGCACAAAUUUUGAGUCCACAACAGCCUGGGAAGUAGAAAAAGAUUGUUUGCCCCUACAAAGAUCAUAUGCUAGUAUGACAAGGCUGGGAAAUGUUAUUCUAAUGGCUGGUGGCUUCACCACUACAGACUUGGAUGUAAUUGAUCGUUACAAUGUCAGCACCAACACCUGGACAACUUUAACCAACAAACUAAGUUUUCCAAGACAACGACACUGUUCUGUAGCAA